UGGAUCGUUUUUUCAGUUAGGAUC
rnacentral:siRNA from 1 species